UACGGAGGUGGCAAGCGUUGCUCGGAAUCACUGGGCGUAAAGGGCGCGUAGGCGGGGAGGUAAGUCGGGUGUGAAAUCCCUCGGCCCAACCGAGGAACUGCGCCCGAGACUGCUUCUCUUGAGUCCCGGAGAGGAAGAUGGAAUUCCCGGUGUAGCGGUGGAAUGCGUAGAGAUCGGGAAGAACAUCAGUGGCGAAGGCGGCCUGCUGGGCUGUUGCUGACGCUGAGGCGCGACAGCGUGGGGAGCAAACAGG
rnacentral:rRNA from 1 species